AGUGAACGCUGGCGGUAGGCCUAACACAUGCAAGUCGAACGGCAGCACAGUAAGAGCUUGCUCUUACGGGUGGCGAGUGGCGGACGGGUGAGGAAUACAUCGGAAUCUACUUUUUCGUGGGGGAUAACGUAGGGAAACUUACGCUAAUACCGCAUACGACCUACGGGUGAAAGCAGGGGAUCUUCGGACCUUGCGCGACUGAAUUAGCCGAUGUCGGAUUAGCUAGUUGGCGGGGUAAAGGCCCACCAAGGCGACGAUCCGUAGCUGGUCUGAGAGGAUGAUCAGCCACACUGGAACUGAGACACGGUCCAGACUCCUACGGGAGGCAGCAGUGGGGAAUAUUGGACAAUGGGCGCAAGCCUGAUCCAGCCAUACCGCGUGGGUGAAGAAGGCCUUCGGGUUGUAAAGCCCUUUUGUUGGGAAAGAAAAGCAGCAGGUUAAUACCCCGCUGUUCCGACGGUACCCAAAGAAUAAGCACCGGCUAACUUCGUG
rnacentral:rRNA from 1 species